UUGCUAUGCUGGUUGCUUGGCUCUAUUUUACCUCGUAGCGGUAGCGAAGGAAGGAGGAUGCUGGCAGUUCUAUUUCACUGCAUAAAUGCUUGCUCAGUCCGUGCAAAAUUAUUACCUCAGAAUUGCUCUCCAAGGAUGGUAUUUUUAACGCUGACAACCUGCUGACUACCUGCUGCUUCAGAGGACCAAAAAGACUGGAAAGAAAACACUCUUUCUUUGCCAUAUAUUUGUUAUAUUGUUAUAUAUUGUUAAAUAGGAAGAAAACAUUUAAGCAGUUUUUAGAUUGACGUUGCUAGCUACUGUAUUUAUUUAUCUCAGCCUGCCUAGUCAGCUAUCCAGACUACAGUAGCUGGCUAGUUAGCCAUCUAGCUGGGCAGACAGUUUUAUUUAGCUAACGUUAGCUAGCUCGCCAGCUAGCUACUGUAACUGUUAUCGUAGCUUUCUGUUUUCAUGUAGCUUGCACUUCAAUGGCAUCCCUCGAGGAUAUACUGUAGUCUUUCAAAUUUGUGAUUGAAUUAGUGUUGUUGUUUGUCUAUUGCUAUUUUUAAAUAACGUACUUUCAGAUCACUGAAACCCCACCUGAUGUGGAGGAAGUUGUCAAACCAGAUCAGAACGCAUUUGAGAACCACCACGGACUGAGAAGGAUGUGGAGUUUUUGACCAGUUACAGUCUUGUCCCAUCGCUGCAACUCCCGUAUGGACUCUGGAGAGGCGAAGGUCGAGAGCCUUAAGUCCUCCGAAACACAAUCCAGCCAAGCCGCACUGCUUCUUGACACAAUGCCCGCUUAACCCGGAAGCCAGCCGCACCAAUGUGUCAGAGGAAAUACAGUACACCUGGUGACUGUGUCAACGUGCUUUGAGCCCGGCCAACCACAGGAGUUGCUAGUGCGCAAUGGGACAAGAACAUCCCUGCCGGCUAAACCCUCUCCUAAACCGGACGACGCUGGGCCAUUUGUGCGCCGCCCCAUGGGUCUCCCAGUCGCAGCCGGCUGCGACAGAGCCUGGACUCAAACCAGGAUCUCUAGCUUAGCACUGCGAUGCAGUGCCUUAGACCACAGUGCCACUGUGGUGGCAAGAAAUGUAUUUGUAAUAUGAAAUAUAAUUGUAUUUAUUCCUGUUAUCAAUCAAGGUGAGACUGAACAUCAACAACGCGUAGGAGAAACAGAAGGAGAGCUACCGGAGCAGAAUCAAGCAGGGGACCAAGUGCUUCGACAUCCAGGCAAAUUACUUGGUUUGGAAGAAGGACGAAAGGAAGGCGAGACCUGGGAAACCUUGCUGCGCUUUUGCUCCUAGCUGGGGCCACCAUCUGUUAAAGUGAAUGUAAAAAAC
rnacentral:lncRNA from 1 species